rnacentral:rRNA from 1 species
AGAACGAACGCUGGCGGCAUGCCUAACACAUGCAAGUCGAACGAGACCUUCGGGUCUAGUGGCGCACGGGUGCGUAACGCGUGGGAAUCUGCCCUUGGGUUCGGAAUAACAGCGAGAAAUUGCUGCUAAUACCGGAUGAUGACGUAAGUCCAAAGAUUUAUCGCCCAAGGAUGAGCCCGCGUAGGAUUAGCUUGUUGGUGAGGUAAGAGCUCACCAAGGCGACGAUCCUUAGCUGGUCUGAGAGGAUGAUCAGCCACACUGGGACUGAGACACGGCCCAGACUCCUACGGGAGGCAGCAGUGGGAAUAGUUGGACAAUGGGACGAAAGCCUGAUCCAGCAAUGCCGCGUGAGUGAUGGAAGGUCCGUUAGGGUUGUAAAGGUCUUCCGUUUUACCCGGAUUAGAUAAGUGAACGAGUACCGGAGAAUACGCGUCCGGACUAACUCCGU